rnacentral:rRNA from 1 species
UACGAAGGGUGCAAGCGUUGUCCGGAAUUAUUGGGCGUAAAGAGCUUGUAGGCGGUUUGUCGCGUCUGCUGUGAAAAUCCGGGGCUCAACCCCGGACUUGCAGUGGGUACGGGCAGACUAGAGUGUGGUAGGGGAGACUGGAAUUCCUGGUGUAGCGGUGAAAUGCGCAGAUAUCAGGAGGAACACCAGUGGCGAAGGCGGUGCUCUGGGCCGGUACUGACGCUGAGGAGCGGAAGCGUGGGUAGCAAACAGG